AUUCAUUUUUUGUUUUGGCCUUGAAAGGUCUCUUGAAAAUCAGAUGGUAUUCAUUAUUUUAUCCCAAGGAAAUGCUAAUCGGACGCAACUGUUACCAUUUUGGUACAUAAACAAGGAAAGAAGAAUGCAGUAGAUUAUAUUUCCAGUCCCAAUAACUUGUGACAUUCGUCCUCUUAAAUUGAUUGUCGUCUGUAGCACGUUUCGUGAUUAUAUCUUUUCAGCUUCCAUUUUUUGAGGGGCUGAUGUCUUGGUCUACAACCUCCUGCAGUUCGUGUUUGGACGCCCAAGAAGAACCAGCUGCUAACCGACAACCCGUUUUUGGCCUUCUUCGAGUCAUUUUCAUACAAUGUUUGAACGAAUCCUACAUAAUGGGAUUCCCCGAAAAAUACGAUUAGAAAAUGAUGUUGAACACUCACAUCGUAUGAAAAUGCGGGCUUAACCAAACUUAAUUAUCAAGCAAAGAAAACAAAGUGAAGUGAUUGUAUACGUAAAAAUAAAUCGGACUUAAAAGAUUAA